GACGAACGCUGGCGGCGUGCUUAACACAUGCAAGUCGAACGGAAAGGCCCUGCUUUUGUGGGGUGCUCGAGUGGCGAACGGGUGAGUAACACGUGAGUAACCUGCCCUUGACUUUGGGAUAACUUCAGGAAACUGGGGCUAAUACCGGAUAGGAGCUCCUGCUGCUUGGUGGGGGUUGGAAAGUUUCGGCGGUUGGGGAUGGACUCGCGGCUUAUCAGCUUGUUGGUGGGGUAGUGGCUUACCAAGGCUUUGACGGGUAGCCGGCCUGAGAGGGUGACCGGCCACAUUGGGACUGAGAUACGGCCCAGACUCCUACGGGAGGCAGCAGUGGGGAAUAUUGCACAAUGGGCGGAAGCCUUAUGCAGCAACGCCGCGUGCGGGAUGACGGCCUUCGGGUUGUAAACCGCUUUCGCCUGUGACGAAGCGUGAGUGACGGUAAUGGGUAAAGAAGCACCGGCUAACUACGUG
rnacentral:rRNA from 1 species